UUUCUGUCUAUAGGAAAGAUAAACGUGUUUCUCCUGCUCUUACUUUUGGCUGUUUGGGUUCAUUAGUGUGAAUUUACUUUGCAUUUAUGUUACCUUGUGCCUCCGCCAUCAGGAGUAUUCAUGCUACAAUUUGAGAACCUUGGAUAUAAACGGAACCAAAGACAACAGAACAAAGUGACACGACGCCAAUGACGCGAACCCAAAAGGCAACGACAGAAAGAAUGUCCCAUUGGCUUCCCUAUUGGCGUGGAUUUCUCCUGGACGCGGUGGAGGAUUCGGCCCAGAUAAAUCCUGCUGAAUCUGUCUUCGACUCACCGUUAAACUUUCUCCCUCGCAGCCUCCACAUCCGCACCACAAUAUGAGCUCCAUGUUCCCAGCAGCAUGUUCCUGCCGGUGCACUUCCACACCGUCAGAGCCGGUUUCAAGCUUUCAACGUAGUGGUCACAGUUCCUGCAAAAGCACUCGAGUUGUUUUCAAGCGAUUCGUUCGGCUCUUCCUCUCCGAGGCGCUGGAAGCCCGGGUUGGACCUUUAGGUCAGUCACUAUGCUGGAGAGUUCAGGAAGCCACUGGGGAACGUUAAAAUCAAGUGGUGAUGAAAGUCUACUUACAGGAUUAUCCAGAUUUCAUAGCCUAAGAUCUGCGGCUGCAACUUUGUUUCAGCGGUUCUGCGACUGGAGCCUGCAGAACCGCAGUUUGACCUUCCACAACCACCGAGGACAAUCGGCAGGUCUCUACACACUCCAAAAUCCUCCAUUUGUUGCUUGUUAGGUUAAACAAAGCACAUUGCAAUGUAUCAUCAUGACCUUCUGUUUAAUACUUUAAGUGUAAAAAAGUGAGAACAAAAACAAAUAAUUUGCAAACGAAGUAAUAUUUAUUCUAAAUUCAGGCGAGCCACUGAGCUAUUUCCAUAUUUCAAAUAUAUUUGUACUAAUAUAUUUCAAAACAGGAAAAUGAGGUAAGAUUGAUUUUAAAUGAUUUUACAAUAAAGAUGGUCAUAGUGUGUUGUGCCAAACAAACAAGGAUGGAAACCAAACUUGUCAUUUUAUUGUAAACCUUUUGAUGAGGGAAACAGAUGGAGAUGGACAGCAGCUGUCAGUCGGAAGGACUGGCAGCCCUGGGUGUAUUUGUGAACUUGCUGGUGAACACUUUUCAGAAGGUGGCGAAGGGAUUGCAUGAACAGUAACGAUUGAAAUCCUCACUCUGUCCGACAGACAGGAGCAUGCUGCUAAUCACCGCUGGUCAUUAUCCUCAGCCUCUCUGUGGCCCGUUACUUAACUCCCCUGGCAUUUUCCUUUUCUUCCCAUGUGUCACAGCUGAGGUGGAUACAGUCUGCUUACUUCCCCCCCCCUAAAAAUUUAGCUUAACAUUUAAUGAAUACAUAAACUCUUAGCUGGAAUUCUAUAAAUAUGUCACUUACUUUGCCAUUGCCUGUUCAUUUCAAAACACGUAGAGACGGGGAAACUCGUUACACAUUGCAUUCCGGAUGAAUUACUUGGCUCCGAGUGAAAUUCUUCACAAUAAAUCUCAAGGUGGAUUUGCAGAUAAUAAAACUCUGUGUUAUGUUUUAUGGCUGAACAAGUAACUGUUUUGUGCAUAAAGGGGAAAAUUCAUUAUGUUAGUGCAUGCGCUUGAUUUUUUUCACUAACGCAGCAAUCAAUCUCUGUAAUAUUUGCGAUAUUUGACGACUCUAUCCGUUACACUUAAAGAGACGUUUCUUAAUUU